CUCCAUGCAUCAUAUAACCAGGCUUUGGAAAAGCUCUGAAAAAUGCACAUGGCAAUUGGAUCUAUUUUGCCCGAUCGUGGGAGUGAUAAAAACAGGCUUUUUAUCUGAGAUAUCGGAAUGUUAACAACAACAACAACAAAACCAAAGGUAGUGAUCAUUCUAAAAUGCAAAACAAUGAACACACUCAAGUUGAUUUUGGAUUUGACCAUACACGUUUCUCAGAAGAGGGAGCUUUCCUGUGAGUUACCCAUGAUAGAAGAACUGGCAGAUAAGAAUUCUUGGCAGUGAGAAUGCACAAAAGGAAUGAAGCAAAGUUAACUGGGGUUACAGGUCAGGGAGCAUGCAAGAACACGGGUAGAGUUGUGAUCAAAGGAACAAGUGGCUUAUGACAGAACUUCUUUACUAAAGACUCUGAAGUCAAAGUCAUAUUUGUGUUUAAUAUAGAGUAUCCUAUAUGCGUCAACGGGUAUGGAAUGAAAGAAAUGUAUUCAGAUAUGAAGAGAUGGGAGAAACAAGAAGGUCUGUAGAGAAAGUACAGUGAAUAUUUGAAUUUUUAUGUUGGGUCAUAUAAAUUGAUUUUGCUAGUGGCAUACCUUAACAUUUACUACUUACUGAGACUGUUACUAUGCAGUUCACUUUAACCCAGCAGAACAAAUGAAAAGUCUUUUUUGGGGCGGGGGAUGGAG